rnacentral:rRNA from 1 species
ACGGAGGAUGCAAGCGUUAUCCGGAUUUAUUAGGUUUAAAGGGUGUGUAGGCGGAUGAAUAAGUCAGUGGUGAAAAAUUUCAGCUUAACUGGAAUCUUGCCUUUGAUACUGUAGGACUAGAGUAUAAUUGACGUAUCUGGAAUGUGAUGUGUAGCGGUGAAAUGCAUAGAUAUGACACAGAACACCGAUUGCGAAGGCAGCAAACGAAAUUAUAACUGACGCUCAUGCACGAAAGCGUGGGGAUCAAACAG